rnacentral:rRNA from 1 species
GACGAACGCUGGCGGCGUGCCUAAUACAUGCAAGUCGAGCGAAGUUUUUCUGGUGCUUGCACCGGAAAAACUUAGCGGCGCACGGGUGAGUAACACGUAAAGAACCUGCCUCAUAGACUGGGACAACUAUUGGAAACGAUAGCUAAUACCGGAUAACAGCCUUAACUGCAUGGUUGAUGUUUAAAAGUUGGUUUUGCUAACACUAUGAGAUGGCUUUGCGGUGCAUUAGCUAGUUGGUGGGGUAAAGGCCUACCAAGGCGACGAUGCAUAGCCGACCUGAGAGGGUGAUCGGCCACACUGGGACUGAGACACGGCCCAGACUCCUACGGGAGGCAGCAGUAGGGAAUCUUCCGCAAUGGGCGAAAGCCUGACGGAGCAACGCCGCGUGAGUGAAGAAGGAUUUCGGUUCGUAAAGCUCUGUUGUUAGGGAAGAAUGAUUGUGUAGUAACUAUACACAGUAGAGACGGUACCUAAACAGAAAGCCACGGCUAACUACGUG